rnacentral:rRNA from 1 species
ACGAACGCUGGCGGCGUGCUUAACACAUGCCAGUCGAACGGAAAGGCCCUGCUUUUGUGGGGUGCUCGAGUGGCGAACGGGUGAGUAGCACGUGAGUAACCUGCCCUUGACUUUGGGAUAACUUCAGGAAACUGGGGCUAAUACCGGAUAGGAGCUCCUGCUGCAUGGUGGGGGUUGGAAAGUUUCGGCGGUUGGGGAUGGACUCGCGGCUUAUCAGCUUGUUGGUGGGGUAGUGGCUUACCAAGGCUUUGACGGGUAGCCGGCCUGAGAGGGUGACCGGCCACAUUGGGACUGAGAUACGGCCCAGACUCCUACGGGAGGCAGCAGUGGGGAAUAUUGCACAAUGGGCGGAAGCCUGAUGCAGCAACGCCGCGUGCGGGAUGACGGCCUUCGGGUUGUAAACCGCUUUCGCCUGUGACGAAGCGUGAGUGACGGUAAUGGGUAAAGAAGCACCGGCUAACUACGUG